rfam:Hordeum vulgare subsp. vulgare, WGS project CAJW01000000 data, contig: morex_contig_1579361
GAGGAUGAUGAUUUCAUAUGUCGCCCCAGUCUUAGUGCCCGCUUUGGUGGAUCUGUGCUGAUUGACUUACUUCUGAAUCUCACUC